rnacentral:rRNA from 1 species
GACGAACGCUGGCGGCGUGCUUAACACAUGCAAGUCGAACGGUGACCCUCGGAGCUUGCUUCGGGGUGAACAGUGGCGAACGGGUGAGUAACACGUGAGUAACCUGCCCCUGACUCUGGAAUAAGCGCUGGAAACGGCGUCUAAUACCGGAUACGACACGAACGGGCAUCCGUAUCGUGUGGAAAGUUUUUCGGGCUGGGAUGGACUCGCGGCCUAUCAGCUUGUUGGUGAGGUAAUGGCUCACCAAGGCGAUGAUGGGUAGCCGGCCUGAGAGGGCGACCGGCCACACUGGGACUGAGACACGGCCCAGACUCCUACGGGAGGCAGCAGUGGGGAAUAUUGCACAAUGGGCGAAAGCCUGAUGCAGCGACGCCGCGUGAGGGAUGACGGCCUUCGGGUUGUAAACCUCUUUCAGCAGGGAAGAAGCGAAAGUGACGGUACCUGCAGAAGAAGCACCGGCUAACUACGUGCCAGCAGCCGCCGUAAAAC